GACGUAGGGGGCCAGCGUUGCUCGGAAUUACUGGGCGUAAAGGGUUCGUAGGCGGUGUGGCAAGUCGGGAGUGAAAUCUCCAGGCUCAACUUGGAGGCUGCUUCCGAAACUGCCGCGCUAGAGUGCGAGAGAGGCCAGUGGAAUUGCAGGUGUAGCGGUGAAAUGCGUAGAUAUCUGCAGGAACACCCGUGGCGAAGGCGAGUCCCUGGAAAACACCUGACACUGAGGCACGAAAGCUAGGGGAGCAAACAGG
rnacentral:rRNA from 1 species